ensembl:lncRNA
AGCCCUUUGAGUCCAGAUUUAUUGAUACGGCUGUGCAGUCACAGAGCACGGUGGCACACGCGGCCGCCUGGCCGGCACUGGGACAGUGACGCACACAUGCAUGCACACACACACGCACUCACACACGCACGCACGCACACACACAACCAUACACACUCGUUGUCAUCCGUUUUAAUGGAGCUUCAAUCUAAGGCGUUUUUCUUUUGUUAGCUGUUUGACUACCGUUUAGAACUUGACUUUUAUAAUGAGUCCUUGUGUAUACUGAAUAUCUGUAAAGAUAUUGAGUCGUAUCUGCUUAACGUGGUGUAUAAAACAUGUGAGAACUUGCCUUUUAAAGUAGGAAAUACUCUUUUGAAAUUUACUCCUUUAAUGAUGAUUAUUUAUUUUACUUAAGUGUUUAACAGCUUCAAACGCUCCACUGUAUAACUUUUUGUUUAUUUCUCACUCCCUUAGACACACACACACACACACACACACACACACAGACACACACACUCGUCUCAUCACACUCUCAUCGAUAGAGCAGAUCCGAGUGAUUCACACUAAACAAGGAAACAAAGCAUCAAACAAACAACAUUAAUCUGCUCUGUAGUAACAAUAACAAAACAUCAUGUUGUCUGACCAUGUCAUAAACACAGCUAUUUUUCUGAUUAUGGUUGGUAUAAUUAUUUUUUAAAUAUUCAUACAGUAGAGGCUAAAACAGUAGCUGGUGAAAUAUAGAGCAAACUACAAGACUGUACAUGUGUUGGUCGCUUGGUGAAGAAAAUAUAUCCUGCUUUACCAAGUAUCAGGCAGGCAAUUUUGGGCACAGGAUGAGUUUUGUAUUUGUUCUCUCUAUCUGAUCGUUAUAUGAUUGUUACACUUUGAAUUUACAGUUUGGAGCCACUUGGAUUUUUUUUUCUGACUUCAGAGCUGGGUGAAUAAAACAUAUUGAACAGACACACACAGGGACAGAUGAACCAGCGAGGAGAGACAAAAUGACAAAAUAAAAAUGACAUUAUAUGUAUAUAAGACUUUUGAACAAUCCAGCAAACAGGCCGCUAAAACAGAAAAAGCUACACAGCGAUAAAAUUGAUUUUUCUAAAUGAAAACAAGCAAAAAUCUACCACCUAAAUACUACUUCUGCAACAUCAAACUUCUGACUUUACAAACUUUCCAACAUUUUUUCUAAAAUUAAGUAGGAAGAACUGAAUGUUUGCCUGUACGUAGAUCCGCACAAAUUGAAUGACACAGUUCCUCCAGGUGAAAUGUGUGAAAUAGAAAGUACAUUUAAAGAGGCACACAUUCAGUCAGCUGUCUUGCUAACCACCGACUGUAUUUUUUAAGUAUAAAGAUGCAUGUGGUUAGAUCACGUGAUAAACUGCUUUAUAGAUCCUCUACCUGCAAUAAUAUAAAAAUGAGUCGAGUGUAUUAAAACAAAGAGGCUACAAAAUUAUUCCUAUAGUUGUAUAUAAAUGUUUACAAGCUGGAUUAUUCCCUCUCUUUAACCCUAUUUAUAAUGUAUCUUUUAGUAUAUGUACUAGUACACAUUUUUACAGUAUAAUGGAAUAUACCAAUAACCUGAUGUUGGCACAAUAAAUGUUGGGAAUUUUGUAUCGAAAGAAUGUAAAACAUAAGGACACACAAAAUAAAUGUGCAAAAUGUCAGGGAAAACAUAUCCAUUCUUAUGUGAAUACUGCCAAAAUGCUUUUUUUCUGUAUAGUUAAAGCUGAACCAGCAUUGCAGAGGUUCAAUAUGUUACAUAUGCACAGUAAGCAAUAUCUGCAUCUCCUAUUCGCAACAUUACAGGCCUUAAAAACCCGGCAUACAGACAAGAAGCAGAUACAGUUUGGACUCAUAGCCGCGGAUGCAUCACAGAAGCAUGACGGAUUCAACUGGCUGAUAAGUGUACGAGCACGCUGUAAACACGUCGUUUUAAACCAUUGCACCAACAACAUAACGGUGAUGCAAAAUAAAACACAGCCUUUUCUCUAAUUCAGGAACAAUCUUGUCAUUUCUGCUACGGAUUAAAUACAUAUAAGAAGGCAUCAAGAAGAAGUCUUUUGACGAAGAAAUGCCAAACAGUGUGAGGACAUUAGACACACCUAGUGCUUGAUUCACAACCAAUGCAAAACAAAUAGAAGAUUGUUACAAAAAGAAAGUAAAGAAAAAUGUUUUACUUAUUACAAAAACUUGAAUGUGUGAUAUGUUUGAGAUGCAAUAGUUGCAUUCUAAUUUUUGGACAUUUUUCACUACACAAUCUUACAUUAUACCCGAAAAGAAAACAUCUGGCGAUGGAUUGUGGGAUUGAAGGAUUUCUACUCUUCAGAUCCGUACACAUACAAGCUUUCAAUAUAUACAGCAAAGAGGCCAGAAACACACAAAAACAAUACAAACCUGGCUGCAAAGAACACAAUCGCAUCAGAAUGUCUGAGGAAAGCACUGGUAAAGUAAACAUGUUACGGGUUUCUUGCAGAAGCCUCAGCAAACAUGAGGAACUCCAAACCCGAGCUGCUGCAGCCCGGGCGAAAGUACAAUCGUCUACACAGAGAUACGUUCAGGGAGUUCUUUCUAGUAAAAUAUUAGUGCUGUAAACCUGUCAAUUGAACAGCACACAUACUCCAUGUACAUACUGUGUAGCAGCUGUAGAUAUCACUAUUCAUGUAGAUCUGGUCUGCCUUUCUAACAAUGUAUUCUUCAGUGAGUACAGAAAAUAAAUGACUGAUGCAAAAGACGUCUCUCUAAGCAACCUUGUUUUUUUUGUUGCUUGUGUUGAGUGUCCACAGAGAAGCAAUGCACAGCAGUGAAAGGUGGGACUUGAAAAGAACGGUUACAUGUCUGUGGUCUGAGUGAAAACACACAAUAGGAGCAAAGUAAACAAUUGGCAAACUAAAGCUACAAAAGCAGCAUUUUCAACCCCAAAUGGCAUCAUAAGUUAAAUCUUCUUCUGUAUUGCAUUCACCGCGAAGCAGGAAGGGGGGUAUAAUGCAUGUGGCUUGAGCUGCGAGCUCUGCAUACAAUAGCCUGGGAGCAUCAACACAGGAAAAGUAAAAACUGUUAAUCGGAGAGACAAACAAACAGGAAGUGAAGGUGUCAGUUUCUUGGCGUCCUGCAGGGGGCGACACAGUCCAACUAGUGGCCUUUCCUCCGGAGUUGGAGCCCUCGCAUACAAGUAAAAGCCAGUUGGGGUCAGUUCCCUCAUUCCAUCGCCACCACUGCUUUGGGGGAAACAAGUAUUAUUCAUUUAAGAGAGAUGAUAAAUCUGUUUUUUAUUUGGAGGAAAUCUCACUACAGGAUGAUCAAUUCACAUGGAUUUGAAGUCUGAACCAAAC